rnacentral:lncRNA from 1 species
UCAAGCUGUGUUCCACUCAGUUCUGUUCCCUGAUGAGGUCAGAGCAACAACAAUCAAUGUCUGAGCCCUUCAUGAGGGUUCUUCAUAUUAUCUACAAAUAUAAAAGGGCCAGGUGCUCCCUUUCUUCACCACUCCAUGCCAAUCAAUAUACACCUACUGUGUUCUUCAAAACCAACCGCCAACUGUACUCCAGCCAAUUCAAGAGCUUCUCUAUGAAGAGCUGCAGCUGUUGCAGGUAUUAAGAACCACUGAGGACAGCAGCUGAUGGAGUCUGGUGCUACCACCAGAAGACAGAAUUAGGCUAAGAAAAUCCAAUCCGGCUGGGAGAAUGCAAGCAGAGACCCAAACCCCAGACUCAGAAACAGACAAAAUUCUGACAAUGUGAUGCAACCAUUGGACACAGUUCUUUCCAGAAAUAUAAAUUCAACUUCCUUUUCUUUCCCAGGAAGAGAGCUUUGAAUGUUUAAUUAUACUGAGCAAAAGACUGGGAUCUCUGAACCAAGGAUAAAUCAGAAGAACACUAAUAUUUACCACAAAACAUCCAAAAUGUGCAUUGUUCUACUUUGUCUUGUUUAGAAAUAUUAAAGAAUGUUAGAAGCUGGGAAGAGAUGCAGUUUUCAAUAACC